GACGUAGGAGGCGAGCGUUAUCCGGAUUUACUGGGCGUAAAGCGCGUGCAGGUGGUUAAUUAAGUCGUGCGUGAAAGCGCCUCGCUCAACGGGGCGAGGCCGUGCGGUACUGGUUGACUAGAGUCAGAUAGAGGCAAGUGGAAUUCCGGGUGUAGUGGUGAAAUGCGUAGAGAUCCGGAGGAAUACCAGUGGCGAAGGCGGCUUGCUGGGUCUGAACUGACACUCAGACGCGAAAGCAUGGGGAGCGAACGGG
rnacentral:rRNA from 1 species